UUUUCUUUUUCUUUCUCGUUACCAUUAUUAUUCCCGUUUUCUGUUCCUUUUAAUAAGUGUUGUAUAUUUUGAUACGUGUUAUACACAAGAUUCUUAUGUCAAGAUUCUUAUGUUUGAUGUUUUCCUCCCACUUCCCACCGCAUCCAAUUACAAAUUGACAGCAAAUUUACACUGCCUCAGUUCUUUACCUACUUCCUUCACCGCCUUCAUUUUCCUUCCCGCUUCCCUCUCUAAAACCAGACACAAAUCCAGUUUCUUCCGCACUUAUCUCCGCCACCACCACUGCCCUAUACAUCGCUGCUCAUGCAAAUUUCUGAUUUCGUUCCGAAAUCUCUGCAAUUCGCAUCCUGUCUUCUCCGUCAUCAACAACAAUCGUCUUUCUAAUACCCUAACUGAAGACCACAAAGGAUGAGCGGAAAUUGACGGAGUCGGCUUCAAGGCAUGUGGAACUAAUGGCGGUGGGAAUCUCCUGCUUUCACUCACUACAUGUUCGAUAAAAUGCCACAGAGAUUAGACCCAACGUAUGAAUGAUAAGAACUCAUGUGGAUGUUCUUCCUGAUUUGACCCUAGAUUUUGGAUGAAAGCUUUGUUUCACUAACUAUAUACAUGCCAUAAAAAAGAGUUGACAACUUCUUAUGGGGAGGUCCCGGAUGGUGAAGGGAGUUGUUAAUGAAGAAGUGAAGCAUAUAUUUGAAAUGCUAAGUAUGCAUGACAAGGGGUAAAAGGUUUGUAUUAGGCAAAACGGGCAAAGGUGGUUACCCGAAGGCCGAACGUUGCCGGCUGUCAGUUGGGCAUCCGGAAACAUUGACAAUCGAGCCCGACAUUGUGGCGGCGAUAAGGUUAUGGAUUUUAUGUACAUUGAUCAGGUAGUGGAGGUUCCAGACACUAGAAAGAUUCAUAGGAGCAUGUAAUAAUGACGAAAAUACCCCUGGAAACCACGGUGAUGGUUCAAGUAGUUGUCAGCAAGGGCAGGGAAAUCAAAGAUUUCACAUAUGUUGAGAAUGUUGCACAUGCUCAUGUAUGUGUUGAAAGAGCUCUAGCUUCAGAUGGAUGUGCAUGAAAGAGAGCUGCAGGAGAGGCUUACUUUAUAACAAAUAUGAAACCAAUGAAGUUUUGGGGGUUCAUGCCACUUAUUCUUGUAGGGCUUGGGUAUGAAAGGAAAGGAAAAAGCUUCGACAUCAUAGUUCUAUAGUGCAAAUGCCAUUAGGAAUGACAAUGGCUGCAGAAAAGAGGCGCAGGUUAAUUGAAGCAGUUUCUGAUGUUGCUGAUCAGCUUGCUGAAGUAUUCCUCAAUGAUUGUAAACAGUCGAACACAAAUCCAACCCCCGCAAAGCGGGGGUACUUCACUAGUUUCACUUAUCUCACUCAAUUUUCAUAUAUUUUUUAAAUCUUAAAACGACAACAAAAAUGAUAAAAUAUACUUCAAUUUCUACAAA